rnacentral:misc_RNA from 1 species
GUUGAGUUGAGUUGAAUCAAACAAGUGAAGAAGUUGAACAAGAUCCCAAAAUUGAUUCCAUACAUGCCAUUCUUUCGAAAAGAAAAGCAACUCAUCCAAAUUGCUGGAAUUCUUUCCCACAAGAAAUCACAUUAUCCAAGAUCCUUCUUUCAUGGGACCACAAACCAACUUCUCCUUACACACAUAACAUGUAAAUAGCAUUUAUUAAGCCACAAAUAGUUAUGGCCAUGUCCAAACUCCAAAAUUGGACCUAUUUUCUUGUUUUCCUCUUCAAAAAUGGCAUCAACCCCACCCCA